UAGGGAAUCUUCGGCAAUGGACGAAAGUCUGACCGAGCAACGCCGCGUGAGUGAAGAAGGUUUUCGGAUCGUAAAACUCUGUUGUUAGAGAAGAACAAGGACGUUAGUAACUGAACGUCCCCUGACGGUAUCUAACCAGAAAGCAACGGCUAACUACGUGCCAGCAGCCGCGGUAAUACGUAGGUGGCAAGCGUUGUCCGGAUUUAUUGGGCGUAAAGCGAGCGCAGGCGGUUUCUUAAGUCUGAUGUGAAAGCCCCCGGCUCAACCGGGGAGGGUCAUUGGAAACUGGGAGACUUGAGUGCAGAAGAGGAGAGUGGAAUUCCAUGUGUAGCGGUGAAAUGCGUAGAUAUAUGGAGGAACACCAGUGGCGAAGGCGGCUCUCUGGUCUGUAACUGACUCUGAGGCUCGAAAGCGUGGGGAGCAAACAGG
rnacentral:rRNA from 1 species